rnacentral:snRNA from 1 species
AGAGACAGAAGGUCAGCAUCGUCUAACAUGGCUCUUGCCUUUUACCAGAGCUAUCAGGGUGCUGCCUUUUCAUUGUCAUUUCAUUUAAUUUUUGGGAUACUUUAAUUUAC